rnacentral:rRNA from 1 species
GACGGAGGGUGCAAGCGUUAUCCGGCAUGAUUGGGCGUAAAGCGUCCGCAGGUGGCAGUUCAAGUCUGCUGUCAAAGACCGGGGCUUAACUUCGGAAAGGCAGUGGAAACUGAACAGCUAGAGUAUGGUAGGGGCAGAGGGAAUUCCUGGUGUAGCGGUGAAAUGCGUAGAUAUCAGGAAGAACAUCGGUGGCGAAGGCGCUCUGCUGGACCAUAACUGACACUCAGGGACGAAAGCUAGGGGAGCGAAUGGG